ACGGGCGCGAGAUCUCGCGGGAUCUCAGGCACGUGUCGAGUUACCCACAAGGCUGUGCUCUCGGGACCGGAAGCACCGCUGGGACCUGGAGUUUUGAGACAUGGCGCCAGGCCCUGCCCUGACCGGGUGAGGUGGGCGAGGAGUGAUGGCCGGGAUGGUGUGAAGACACGGUCAGAAGUCCGAGGAAAAGAGGCCCGCUCUUUCACGGAGUUCGUGGGGGCACCGAGGGUGCGUUCUGCCGUUAGUUCUGCCCCGAAACUGCCCGCAGCCCGGCCCCUCCCUCGCCGUGCAGUGCGGCAGCAUCUUAGGGGUCAUCUUAGGGGUUUGCCGACGUCUGGUCUCUUCCUCCUGCGGGCCUCGCCUGUCUUCGCGCCGCUUGGCCCACUCGGGAUUCUGCGGAAAAGCCGGCACAGCAGGCUGGUCUCCAAGGAUGUGCAAGAGCAGCUGUGGACUAUAACUGAGAGGAGUUAUCUUUGCAUUUUUCAUUGUUGCUUGGGCCUCCUGAAACUACCGGCAGGCAACAGCUCUGCUAUGCUGAACAGUGUUCUUCUCAGGCAGAAGCCACAUGGAAAACCACCAGGAAGAUAGUGAAGCAGAAAAACAGGGUCUUGCUUCCUCAUGAGUACCAUAGAGAUAGAACUCGGCUGAUUCCGAGGAAUACCUGAGAUAGGCAGGCAGAUAUUUUGAGAGUCUGUGAGAGCAGAUUGAGACUAAGACAAUAUAUUUAUAAUAUCAAUUUUAAAUCCAAAGUUGUUGAGCGGAUGUGUCAACAGGAAAAGCUACUGGUGUUGGCAUGGAUUAAAAACAAUUGGAAAACAACUUUGAAAUGUAGAUAAAAAUUAAACUUUAGAUUGAGAAUAUGAGUAUAAUUCUAAUUACAAUGAAUAAUUCAUAUUAAUCAAUCAAGACUAUUCACAAAGCACAGUGAGGAUUAUUAAUUCUUUAAAUGUGAAGGUUUAUUUUUUUUAAAUGUGAAGGCUUAAUCUGAUAUUUGAUUUAAACUUG
rnacentral:lncRNA from 12 species